rnacentral:tRNA from 1 species
AGCUAAUGAACUUGUAAAGUAUAUAUUUUGAAAAUAUAAAAAAGAGUAACCAACCUCUAUUGGCUU